CAUCAGCAAUACCUUAUUUCUGACCAUUCCUGUUUCUCGAAGUCUGCCUUGAACCCUCACCUGUCGCUGAUGCUGAUGAUCAGAAAGAUACAGUGACAGAUAAAGCAGUGCCCAUUUUCCCACUUCCAAUCUUUGCUCAGAAAUUAAUGAUCCAUCUGGAAAGCGGGUAGAGCAAGAGGAGGAAAAGAGUGCAUCACAGAGAUGGGUACAGGCAGUGAGGAGAAUCUGCACGUAUCUGAGGAAGCCGUAACUGAGAUUAUCAGAAAUCUCCUGUGGAAGUACAUAAGUGAACACUUCUGAGCUGCACACCACAGGGGACAUGCAAUUCCAAAAAGGGCACAGACA
rnacentral:lncRNA from 1 species